GGCCCCAUGGUGUAAUGGUCAUCACUCUGGACUUUGAAUCCAGUGAUCCGAGUUCAAAUCUCGGUGGGACCU